GCAGAAGUACACCAGAUUACAGUGGGUAACUUCACUGCACUAUAAACCCUUCAGCCUGCCGUCCUUGGAUCAGGACAUUUUCAGCAACAUUUCUGAUACAUCUUUGCCUCCUCUCCACUCUUCACCAUGAAGAUAUUUUGCUUUCUGGCUCUGCUGACAUUGUUAAAGGCUGAAGUUUUCUCUAACGGAAACACUACCACCGCUACGCCAACAAAUACAACCAACUUCUCAACCACUUUUACAACUGUUGCCCCAAGUUCUACGACUAGUGGUGGGACCACAGCUACGCCAACAGCUACAACCAACUUCUCAACCACUUCUACAACUGUUGCCCCAAUUUCUACGACUAGUGGUGGGACCACCGUAACACCAACAACUACAACCAAAUCCUCAACCACUUCUACAACUGUUGCCCCAAGUUCUACGACUAGUGGUGGGACCACAGCUACGCCAACAACUACAACCAACUUCUCAACCACUUCUACAACUGUUGCCCCAAGUUCUACGACUAGUGGUUGGACCACCGUAACACCAACAACUACAACCAAAUCCUCAACCACUUCUACAACUGUUGCCCCAAGUUCUACGACUAGUGGUGGGACCACAGCUACGCCAACAACUACAACCAACUUCUCAACCACUUCUACAACUGUUGCCCCAAGUUCUACGACUAGUGGUGGGACCACCGUAACACCAACAACUACAACCAAAUCCUCAACCACUUUUACAACUGUUGCCCCAAGUUCUACGACUAGUGGUUGGAAUACCUCUAUGCCAACGAAUCCAACCAACUCCUCAACAAAUUCUCCUGUUACUGUUACCCCUAACAUUUCUGUGACUGCUACAAUCAACCCUACCAACACGAGAACAAGUUCCUCUCCAACCACCAGAGCAAUCACAACAAAGACUUCAACAACACAAACCACCACCAACACAGGCAGUGGAGGCUCCGACGUCGAAGCCUCUCUGCUGUUUUCUGUUGUGCCAUUGUUGCUCUACACAAAUCUCACCUGAGGGAUGUUAAGAUUCUUGUUCCUUGUUUCUAAGUGUAUAAAGGUGAGUUGUAAUGAAUGCUGCUCCACUGAAUGACCAAGCAGGUUAACAAUUAACAUUUAAUAUAAUGGAUCUAAACUAUAUGUGGCCUUAACUAAGAAAAUCAUUGGAGGCUAUUUGUCAAGGUGUGUUUAGUCUAUGAUUAGGAACUCCCUAUUGAAAUGUUUAGUCUGAUGACAAGCAUGAGAAUAAUAUUAGACAGAGUAAGCAAAGUAAAUAUAUUACUGGGUCUGUAUUACCAAAUGUAUUAAUUUGCUGUACUAAACAUUAAUUCUAAAUUUAUAACAUUAACAAAAAAGAGAAAAAUGGGUGCCAUUGUGACUUUUUGAACACAUUUUUAUAUGUUGAUAAAACAUUCAGGGUGAAAAGAGGUAUUGAGGCAGAUAUACAGUACAAAGUAAUAAAAGCAAAUAACCAAACAUAAAAAGAAUAACAUGUAUACACCAUUUAAAAAGCAUAAGCAAAGCGUGCAAUUAAAUGAGAUUCAAUAAAGUCUUCUUUACAUUA